UGAUUACUGCUCAGUAACACGUAGCUAACCUGCCCUCGGGACGAGAACACCCCCGGGAAACUGGGGCUAAUUCUCGAUAGGCGAAGAACUCUGGAAUGAGUCUUUACCCAAAAGACGUUUAGAUCAUGCUUCUAGGCGUCGCCCAAGGAUGGGGCUGCGACCGAUCAGGUAGUUGGUGAGGCAAUGGCUCACCAAGCCUUUAACCGGUGCGGGCCGUGGGAGCGGGAGCCCGGAGAUGGGCACUGAGACAAGGGCCCAGGCCCUACGGGGCGCAGCAGUCGCGAAAACUUUGCAAUAAGCGAAAGCUUGACAGGGCUAUCCCGAGUGCCAUCCGCUGAGGAAGGCUUUUACCCAGUCUAGUAAGCUGGGGGAAUAAGGAGAGGGCAAGUCUGGUGUCAGCCGCCGCGGUAAUACCAGCUCUCCGAGUGGUGUGGAUGUUUAUUGGGCCUAAAGCAUCCGUAGCCGGCUGAGUUAGUCCCCUGUUAAAUCCACCGAAUCAAUCGUUGGAUUGCGGGGGAUACUGCUCGGCUAGGGGACGGGAGAGGCAGACGGUAUUUCCGGGGUAAGGGUGAAAUCUUAUAAUCCCGGGAAGACCACCAGUGGCGAAGGCUGUCUGCUAGAACGCGCCCGACGGUGAGGGAUGAAAGCUGGGGUAGCGAACCGGAUUAGAUACCCGGGUAGUCCCAGCCGUAAACGAUGCAGGCUAGGUGUUUGGGCGGCCACGUGCCGCUCUAGUGCCGCAGGGAAGCUGUUGAGCCUGCCGCCUGGGGAGUACGAUCGCAAGAUUGAAACUUAAAGGAAUUGGCGGGGGAGCACA
rnacentral:rRNA from 1 species